rnacentral:rRNA from 1 species
GAUGAACGCUGGCGGCGUGCCUAAUACAUGCAAGUCGAGCGAAUGGAUUAAGAGCUUGCUCUUAUGAAGUUAGCGGCGGACGGGUGAGUAACACGUGGGUAACCUGCCCAUAAGACUGGGAUAACUCCGGGAAACCGGGGCUAAUACCGGAUAACAUUUUGAACCGCAUGGUUCGAAAUUGAAAGGCGGCUUCGGCUGUCACUUAUGGAUGGACCCGCGUCGCAUUAGCUAGUUGGUGAGGUAACGGCUCACCAAGGCAACGAUGCGUAGCCGACCUGGUAGGGUGAUCGGCCACGCUGGGACUGAAACACGGCCCAGACUCCGACGGGAGGCAGCAGUAGGGAAUCUUCCGCAAUGGACGAAAGUCUGACGGAGCAACGCCGCGUGAGUGAUGGAGGCUUUCGGGUCGUAAAACUCUGUUGUUAGGGAAGAACAAGUGCUAGUUGAAUAAGCUGGCACCUUGACGGUACCUAACCAGAAAGCCACGGCUAACUACGUGCCAGCCGCCGCCGUAA